CGCAGCCUCCGCCGCGGACACGGACGCGCAGGCUCUGGCCCAGAGCGAGGCCCACGCUCAGCCCCGCCGCCCUUAAAGGGACACGCGCCCGGAAAGGCCCUCAGAGCCAACCAAUCUUCACCUUCCUGAAGAAGAAUCCUGAAAAUGGUGACAGGGGCCACUUAACGUGACUAGACUGCCUCAAGGACUCAAACGUGUUUGAACCAUUUUGGCUCUGAGUUAGCCUCUCUCUUUUAAAGCUUUUCCAGUGAGCCAACAUGGGUGGACACUGCGCUCGGAUGUGUGAAGGACGAUUAUUAGGAAUUAAUACACUUGCUCUUUACUCUCCUGUGGGAAGCGGCUACAUGAUUUAAAAGAAAACAAAUGGCACAAGUCUGCCAAGAAUAAGUCAAAUGCCUUGGUUAUCACAUGUGCUGGAGAGAAAGCAGGCUGUCUGGUUAUCCCGUGUUCAUCCACCUGAUGCCAGGUUUGGGAGUUCCUCGGGGCCACGUGUUUCUGUAGAAUCUGAAUACCUAGUUUCUCAUCAGGGCAGAACGACUUUAUGGUGCGACAAAGCAAGACCCUCUGCCACCAGAACAAGCACAACAGAAGGCUUUUGAAGAGAUGAGGGCACCCCGACGUGCCCACACUGGCGUGCAUGCAUGGGCACGCUGGCAUCGGGGUGAGCGCCUGGCCCACAUGUUGCUGUUGAGGCAUUGCUCAGACCUUUCUGAGCAGCUUAGCUCCAUUGUGCAAGGCUGGGCGCCUGGCUCUAGGCACUCACUGCCAUUGCCAUAGUAGUGCCAAAGACUGACAGAUUGAUUAUGGGAAACGAGAUAAUACUCUUAGCCCCACACUCACAGUGCUCACAGGGGACAAUAUUGGCUAACUAUUGCUCGGAUGAUCUGCUACCAGGAAACGUGUGAGGACCUGCACAUUCACCUGCAAGUACUGUGGACCUCAAACCUCAAGACCCCAGUGUUUGUUGGUCUAGACCAUCAAGACCAUGGCUGCAUCAGUUGUGAGGUAUUCUCUAACCAAUCAGACCCUGGAUGCUGAGCAUUUCACCAAUGGUGGCAGUUUUGUGAAAGAGAAAGGAUAUCUUUCGGGGGUACUCCAUGGUCAACUUUAUUUUCAUCAUUGAGUUGAAAUCUCUGCCAGAGGCAGAACUUCUUAUGACCUGAGCCCUGCAACUACAGCUGAGGUGUAUGUCAAUAUACACAUGGACUCUUAAAUAUGCCUUCUGCACCCCCCACCCCCCGCAUACAUGAGCUCUAUAAAACAAAAGCUGCCUAACCAACUCAGAAAGAAAGGGUAUAAACCAUGGCAAAGAAACCCUUGAACUCAUGCCAGGAGUGGUAGUGCACACCUUUACCCAGGCACUCGGAGGCAGAGGCAGGCAGGUUUCUGUGAGUUCAAGGUCUGGCAGGUCUACAUAGUGAGUUCCGGGACAGCCUGAGCAAUAUUGUGAGACCUUAUCUCAAACAACCAAAACCAAAGCAAACAGAAGAAGAAAUCCUUCAACUCUUAGAUACUGUAUGUCACCUAAAAAGGUGACAGUUGUAUGCUUUGGAGGGCAUCGAGGGAAGAAACUAAAGAAGGCUGAGCAGUGAAGCUUGCAGCCUUCAGGGGAACAACAGGGCCUAGAGCUGGGCUGUGUGCACUGGUUUAGGCCAUCGGCAGAAUGGGAGCCUAGCGACUCAUCAUGAACACUCAGUACAAGACUGAAAGUGGGAUCUGUCUCCUAGGUGGGUUUGAAAUUGGCUAAUUCCUGAGGCCGUAGUCUCAGGUGUUGUCAAACAGUUACACCAGAAGACCCACCUUAUCUGGGAAGCUCUUAAAGACCCACUAGCUGACAUCUGUACAGCCUUUGACUCUCCAGCACAGCCCGGGUGCUAUACAAUGUGAAAUAUGUAUCCAGUAUAACCUGAGUCAGGGACCUAAUGUCUCUUCUAGGGUACAGAGUGUUGGAAGAGCCCAUUUGAGAACGUAGUUGUAGAUUUCACUGAGUGGCCCCCAGUCUGGGACCAGCUGUUGACAACUGCUUGCUUAAGCAUUAAGUCUAGCCCUACUAGACAUAGAGGUUCCCCCCUUAUCCUUUGUAGACUCUUGUCAGAGAAUGCAGGGGCUGGGUAACAAUGCUCUGGGACUGCUGUGCUCUCGCCUCAUCCCUGACGUAAAUGGACAUCCAAUUCUUUUACCCAUAUAGCAACUCCCCUGUGGUCAAGCUGGCAGGCAACCACUCCUUACUUGGGUGGUGUUUCUGCCCCUCUUGGAGCUGUGGUUCAUUGACCACAUGGAAGGAUAAAGAUAAACCAACACUCCUCCAGAGGGUAGUGCCAUCUCCAACUGUAAAUCGGGACCCUAUGAUCCUGUCAAAUAUCCUUGUUGUGUGACAGUUUCCUCCAAGAGUGAAACACUCCAUUCUACAAGGAAGCUGCUUAAACAGGAAGAUAAACAACUCAAAAUAGCUUCCCUGAAACUGACCAGAUUCACUAGACUUCUCCCUUGCUGAGCAAGCAAUAACGAUUUGACUAAGUAUCUCAGAGAAGCCAAGCUGUAAAGAAGACUCUGAGACCAACCUAGCUGCCUAGAAGAAGCAGAAACCAGCCUAGCAGCCUAGAAGAGGCUUUAAAGAACCAAGUCAGCAAGAAAGGAUGCUUGUUCCAGCCUGUUGAGCUGCCUUUGGGCUAUGCAGUAUGUUCCUAGUCCCAGUUUUUGCGAGCUGUCACCCAUACUGGGUAGCUGUCUUUGAGUCAUUUCUGCUUCUGUAAGUAACCCCUCAUUUACACUCUUAUAAACAACCCCAAUAAAGCUCACUGAUUCAUCCAA